UGAUUUUGUCAGCGUGGAGGCUGGUGAGUCCUGUGUGAAUGCCAGGCUCGCAUCGUAUUAACCAGAAGCUGCAUUUACCUGGACCAUACAUCAGCCCGAGCCUGUCUCCAGUGAAGAGUUGUGUCGUGCUGGAGGGACCAUUCAUCACACCUGCCCAGCUUCUGGAGGCUCUCCUGGGCUUUGGUGUCUUAGGUUAGAGCUGGGCAAAGAGGAAGCUGCUCAGGAUUGGAAGGUGGGAGAGAAGCAUCAGCCAUCACUCUCUGAGGUCGCCACAGUCAGAUGGAGUGACAGAUGAAGAGAUGCCUGGUGGGUCCCAGCUUGUCCUCGUUCUUCUCCCUUUGCCUCCAGCUCUUCUCCCUGGCUACCUACCCUGUUGGCCAAUGGCGGCUCAUGCUCAUCACCAGGCAUGUGGCUGCAGACACACGGAGGUGGGAGCCAUGCAGAGGCACCGGCUCUUCACAACCCUCUCUGCCAGCACCCGUUUCAGGGUCCUCCUUUGAUGUUGGGUGUGCUUGGCUUCUCCAAGUGACAGGUUAGUGCCUCCCCUGGGCCUCCAUCUGAUCUUCUGGACCUUUGCUUCCGCAGCUUCCCUCAAUUAUGCAAAUUCUAGGUCUGAUUCCUAGAAUAAAUACUGGAUCUCAAAGCACUCACAGGAUUCUGCUCCCCUGGCUGAACUCUGGUGGAAAUGAUGUCAUGUGACUUCGAAACUAGGCCUUAAGAGUCCUUGCAGUUUUCCCUGUCCUGAGGCCACAUCAUGCUGUGAAAAAACCCAACUUAGCAGAGGCUGAGAAGUUACACGGAGGAGAAUGGAAGAGCCCUGGUCAAUACACACAACUGUGAAAAAAAUAACUCACUGUAGACAUUUUUUUUAGGCUGAGAAAAUAUUUUUCUAUUAAUUGGUUGAUCUGUCAUUAUAUUCCAUUGCAUAGUCAGUGAUAAUAUACUAAGUAAAGUUUAGUGUAACCAUAUUAGAAUAAUCUAAAUUUGAAGAUAUUUAUUAGCUUUAUUAACUUAUACAAAAUAAAAUUCACUGCUUUUUUAUCGUGGUAAAAUAUAGACAACAUACAAUUAACCAUUUCAGCUACUUUUAGGUGUGCAGGUCAGUGGCAUUAGGUACAGUCACAUUGUUGUAUAAACAUCAUCACUAUCCACCUCCAGAACUUUUUCAUCAUUCCAGACAGAAACUCUGUAGCCAUUACACAACAAUUCCCCAUUCCCCCACCCCUUAGUGUAGGUUUUUUUUUCCCCAUUUUUUUUUGAGAAAGGGUCUCACUCUCUCACCUAGGCUGGAGUGCAGUGGCAGGAUCAUGCUCACUGUAACCUCCAACUCCUGGGUUCAAGUGAUCCUCCCACCUCAGCCUCCUGAGUAGCUAGGACUACAGACGUGUGCCACCAAGCCUAGCUUUUUAUUUUAUUUUUUGUAGAGAUGGGAAGGAGGCUGGCUAUGUUGCCCAGGUGCCCUCAGUGUAGUUUUAGGCCACUAAAUUUUGGGGUACGUUGUUACACAGCCGUAGAUAACUGAACAUUCAUACUUGGUGAGGUCAUAUGCUCUAAUUUUCUAGUUUAAAAAAUAGUUUCUCAGGCAAAACUAUGGAGAUGGUAAAAAGAUUUGUGUUUGC
rnacentral:lncRNA from 10 species